UACAGAGGUCUCAAGCGUUGUUCGGAUUCAUUGGGCGUAAAGGGUGCGUAGGUGGCGCCGUAAGUCAGGUGUGAAAAUUUCGGAGCUUAACUCCGAAACUGCAUUUGAUACUGCGGUGCUUGAGGACUGGAGAGGAGACUGGAAUUUACGGUGUAGCAGUGAAAUGCGUAGAGAUCGUAAGGAAGACCAGUGGCGAAGGCGGGUCUCUGGACAGUUCCUGACACUGAGGCACGAAGGCCCAGGGGGAGCAAAACGGGG
rnacentral:rRNA from 1 species